rnacentral:rRNA from 1 species
AACGCUGGCGGCGUGCUUAACACAUGCAAGUCGAACGAAGCAUCCCGCCCGAUGAAAUGGAGUGCUUGCACAAAGUGGAAUCAAUUGGGAUGACUGAGUGGCGGACGGGUGAGUAACGCGUGGGUAACCUGCCCUAUACAGGGGGAUAGCAGUUGGAAACGACUGAUAAUACCGCAUAAGCGCACAGGACCGCAUGGUCUAGUGUGAAAAACUCCGGUGGUAUAGGAUGGACCCGCGUCUGAUUAGCUAGUUGGUGAGGUAAUGGCUCACCAAGGCGACGAUCAGUAGCCGACCUGAGAGGGUGACCGGCCACAUUGGGACUGAGACACGGCCCAAACUCCUACGGGAGGCAGCAGUGGGGAAUAUUGCACAAUGGGCGAAAGCCUGAUGCAGCCGACGCCGCGUGAGUGAUGAAGUAUUUCGGUAUGUAAAGCUCUAUCAGCAGGGAAGAUAAUGACGGUACCUGACUAAGAAGCACCGGCUAAAUACGUGCCAGCCGCCGC